UUGUGAGUUUUCAUUGGUUUGGAGUUUUUAGACCCUUCAUUGUUGACCAGUGGAAAACUUCCCGCCGAAGUGUUUCAAAUAGCACUUUGUCUUCAAACGAACAAGAUGGACACAUGCAGUUUACAGAAGCAAAAGAUUUGAUUUGAACUGUUCGUGAAACCACACAUACUCAAGAGAAUUUACAAGACUAUUAUCCACAAAAUGCAACAGUCUUAUUUUGAUGAAUUGUUGAACCAGAGAAAUGUGAAGACUUACAGACACCUAGACUGUAUAGUCAACAUAACAAUGAUUAGAGAAUCAGACUACAAUGAACAUUACAAUGAUUAGAAAAUCAGACUAGAGUCAACAUUACAAUGAUUAGAGAAUCAGACUAUAGUCAACAUUACAAUGAUUAGAAAAUCAGCCAGCUGCAUUUCAUCAAUCAGUUUAUGAUGAAGCUUUACAGCAUUGGAAAUGAUUACUCAGGGACCAAACAACUGAGCAGAAAGAAGAACCGUAUGACCUUGAAGAGUAAGCAAUGUAUUAAGUAUAUUUGGGGUUACCAAAGAGUAUGGUAAGAACCUCAUCUUAAAUUAUACUUGAUUGCAGCAGUGGGAUGUUAGUCAUAGACGUUGGAUAGACUCCGUUGUACUAGGCCAGGGAGGGUAGCGCAGAGUUUCCGCAGCACUAUACAAUAGUAGCAAGAUCACUCUACCAUGAGCUUGUUAAAGGGCCCGUUUGAUGAAAGUGACACCAACGUUCUCCACAACACUACAGAUUUGUUUUUGCAGAUGCAGCCGAGAGGAUGUUUCAGUCAUGGACUCAUUUGAUGGAAGUGACACCAACAUUCUCAAACACUAAUAAUUUACAAAUUUGUUUUUGUUGUAGAUGCAACCUCAGUCAUACACCCUAGAGUUUGGCUAUGUUGUGACAGAAGAAGAGUGGCAUAUAGACUUCUGUAUGUCCAUUUUUAUGGAAGUGACAAAUUACUAAUCUUUCUUCUUAUAUCCAUUUCAGAGUUCUUACAAAGAUGCAUAGAUUGCAGCAGUGGGAUGUUACAGUCAUAGACGUUGGAUAGACUCCGUUGUACUAGGCCAGGGAGGGUAGCGCAGAGUUUCCGCAGCACUAUACAAUAGUAGCAAGAUCACUCUACCAUGAGCUUGUUAAAGGGCCCGUUUGAUGAAAGUGACAACAACGUUCUCCACGACACUACAGAUUUGUUUUUGCAGAUGCAGCCGAGAGGAUGUUUCAGUCAUGGACUCAUUUGAUGGAAGUGGCACCAACAUUCUCAAACACUAAUAAUUUACAAAUUUGUUUUUGUUGU